rnacentral:misc_RNA from 1 species
UCUCCGUUGGUGAACCAGCGGAAGGAUCAUUACCGAGUGUAAACUCAUAACCCUUUGUGAACCUAUAUCUGUUGCUUCGGCGGCUCGCUCUCGGGCGAGCCCGCCGGUAAUAUCAGUAUCUCUGUUUGAACCCGACGAUACUUCUGAGUGUUCUUAGCGAACAGUUAAAACUUUCAACAACGGAUCUCUUGGUUCUG